rnacentral:rRNA from 1 species
AUUGAACGCUGGCGGCAGGCCUAACACAUGCAAUUCGAACGCGUGGCGGACGGGUGAGUAAUGUCUGGGAAACUGCCCGAUGGAGGGGGAUAACUACUGGAAACGGUAGCUAAUACCGCAUCCCAUCGGAUGUGCCCAGAUGGGAUUAGCUAUUGGGUGGGGUAAUGGCUCACCUAGGCGACGAUCCCUAGCUGGUCUGAGAGGAUGACCAGCCACACUGGAACUGAGACAAGGUCCAGACUCCGACGGGAGGAAGCAGUGGGGAAUAUUGCACAAUGGGCGCAAGCCUGAUGCAGCCAUGCAGCGUGUAUGAAGAAGGCCUUCGGGUUGUAAAGUACUUUCAGCGAGGAGGCGUUACUCGAAGAAGAAGCACCGGCUAACUCCGUGCCAGCAGCCGCGGUAAUUC